CAGGCUGCUGUGACUCUAGGGCACCCAGGCCUGGGGACAAGUGCUAAGUCGGGUGUCAGCCACUGCAAUUGGGAGCAGAUCAUCCAUCUGGCUUGGAGGCUCUAGGGAAAAUUCGGAGGAGGAUGUCACCCAGGCUGGAGAGAGAGCUGUUGACAGUAAAGUGGGGGACCGCCCCCCAAGGGUACAGGGCAGGACUUUGGAACCCAACAGGUUGGCUCAAAUCAGCUGUGCCACUUGCUAGUCGCAUGACCUGAUCCCUCAGGGGCUCCAUUUCCUCAUCUGUAGAAUGGGAGUAAUAACAGGAGCAGUGCCUGCUUUCCAGAAGGAGAUGAGAAUAUUGAGGGUCUGAGAGGCAAAGCAACUAAAUGGAGAUGGCACCCGUAGGAAGUACGUCGAUGGAGAAGUCCUCUCCCCGCUGCCCGCGCUGUUCCCUGUUUUGUUUCUCAGUUCUUCUAUUGAAGACAGGCCCCAUGUUAAACUGAAACCUGGAGCGUUUCCCUUCCCCUCGAGACCCUGCCUGAGUAACGCCGUCACUGGUCAGAGGUUUCCUUGGAUGAGGCACUCCUGCGUGCACUUUGCAGAGUACUGCAUAGCUCCAGCUGCUCUGAACCACAACAAGGGCAAGUUAGAAAGUUAAGGCUGUCUAGCGUGACGUCUAGAGAGCCUUGGUGCAGGUGUGUCGCACAACUCCGUGGGCCCCGUUCACAUCCCAGUCUAAGAGGAUGGCGCCCGAUUGAAGGACCCAGCUGUGGAGUUGGACCCGAGUUGUACUCUCGACUCCCAUUUUCUGACUGUGUGACCUUGGAGAAGUUGCUUGUCAUCUCUGAGCCUUGGUUUACUCAUCUGUAAAAUGAAGCUAUUGAUAGAAACACAACACUGUGUUUUUGUAAACAUUCAGCGAGACCAUCCACGCGGAGCAGUUCCUGGCAUGCUGUAAACAUGAACCACCCAGUCAUCACCGGAUGUACAAUAAGCACUGCUGUCUGUGAUGGGAUCUGUGGGUGCCUGAUCCUGCCCGUGUGUGUGUGUCUAGUGGGAAGACUUCCCAGAAGAGGGGAAGGGUUAUAGACGUUGGUGUUGGGUUAUAAAGGAAAAAGUAGGGAAGGGCAUUCCAGGCAGAGGGAAGGGCAUGUGGAAAGGCCAGUGCUUUGGGUAGGGGAAGGAACCCUGACAAGGGUGGCUGGGAGGAGUUCUCCAGCCCCUGGGGGGCCUUAUUGGGGAUGGGCCUGAGCCUCCCUGCCCUUCUGGUUAUGGCCCCCAAGGCUGUAGCCAGGCUGGGUCCACAUAUUGUGUCUGGGUGGGAGGAGGGUAACCCAGCUUGGUCUCUGCAAUGAGCAGAAGUUUCAGCCUUUCACCCUCUGCCCCUGCUGUUUCCGGGCCUUCGCUUCCUUCCCUUACAUAGACCACAAAGUUGUUUCAGAGGAAGCCACUACUUAUUUUAGCAGUGAUCCCUGGUCACCCCCACCCACAGCUGCCCCUUCCUCCAGCCCCCGUAAGAGGCACUAAGACCCUUUCGGAGCCACAGCCCACAGCACUCAUGGGUGAGGACCAGUCCCUGUCCCUGGCCAGCCCUCGGCCCCACUUCCUUGUAGCUGAAUGAGGAGUGCUAGUCUCGGAGCUGGGAGACUGGAUUCGAGCCCAGCUCUGACAUUACCUCACUGUACGCUCUCCUACAAGCUCCUGCUCCCUUCCAGGCCCCAUGUCCCCAUUAGCGCUAGGGGGCCUGGCACUGGGCAGCUCGGGCCCUUCAUAGCACAGGUCUUCUGUGUUCAUUCUAAACCCCAUGGAUAACGUUUGGAUAGCAGCUGGUGCAUUCCUAAUGCUUCCUAGUGCCAGGCAUUGCUCUGUGUCCGGAGGUCUAAACAUGCGAACUCAUCACUGAGCCCUCCCAGCAACAUGGUGAGCUGGGGCUAUUAUAACCUCAUGUUCCAGAUGAGGAAACUGAGGCACCCAAUCCAUACCAGGCUCUGUUUGGGCACUGGAGAUGCAGUUGUGACACUGAUGUGGUCUUUGUUCUUGUGGUGCCCAGGGCUGGUGGGGGACAGAGGUGUCAGCACCUCCAUUAUUAUAACACCAGAUGGCUACUGGCAAAUAUAAUGUUGGGGGAGUGGGGGUCAAGGGAAGCCCCCAGGCACCAGAGGGGAGGAAGCGAUUCCUUUUGACCAGAAGGCAUGGAGCAUGGGAUAAUGUUUGAGAGGUGCCUUAACAAAUUCCUAAAGGAAAUAUCCAGAUUGGUCACAGUGGAAGGGCAUUCUAGGUGGAGGGAACAGCAUGUGCAAAGUCAAAGAGGCAGGAAAGAGGGUGUUUGUGGGAAAGAAAAAGAACCAGGAGUUUGUGAACCAUGGCAUCGAAAGGACCCAUAUUCAUUCAUUCAUUCCUUUAUUCCUUUAUGCACAUGGUGUUCACUUGUCUGUCCACCCUCAUGUCCAUCCAUGAGUCUGUGCAUUCAACUUACUUUGGUCUGAUUCUACUGUUACCCUGCCCAUGUCCCCUCUGUCCACCUCUGAGUCCCCUGUCUGCCAAGGACUGCCACCACUGCAGCUUCCCACCCCCAGACCUCAGCCUGGGUUUCCUCUAGGACCACACAAGCUCAUUCAACUUCACACAGAGCAACCUAGAAAUGUCAGGGCUGCAAAUGUCCCCAGGGGAAGCCCCUACCCAACGAGGGAGGGUGGACGGUGGGACUAAGCCCCAGGUGCCCACUAAGGAGCCUGCUCACCAGCACACCCGUUGGUGGCUUCCCCUCUUCCUGGUUGCACUGUCCCCACUCUUCUCUCCUUCCUGAGAUUGUCACUUCCCAAAGAAGUCACUUAUACCUGGUGUCCACCCCAUCUCUCCUCCUGUUCAUCUGUUCAUGCCUUCGUCCAGAUGGUAAUCACUCACAGGGCUCACUCUGCUAGAUCCUGUGCUUGGGACAGAGAAGUGGAGAAGCAGUGGGCACAGCCUUGUCCUCAAGGACCCACGGCUUGUGUGGCUGGACGGGGGCCCCAAGAGCCCUGCAGAGCUGCGUGCUCACUCUGCCCUCCGCCAGGUGAGCUGGGGCAGGAGGGUAGGUGCUGAGCUGGGCCACUUCCUCUUCAAGUUGCACUUUCUCCAUCCUUGACUCUCUCCAGCAUGUAAUUCUCCAAGGAAGGUUCCAGCAGCGUGUAGCAUGUCCAGCAGGAAGGAGGAAGAACAGGAGCGUCCAUGUGCACUCACUACACCUGAGGAGCUUUCCGUGUAUCAAAGCCUUUCAUCUUCCCAACAGCCCUACAAGGUGAACACUCUUAAUAUGAACCCCAUUGAGCCUUGUAGAGAAACUGAGCCACCAAGAGGUUCACCCAAGGUAGUAUAGUUAGAAGAGGCAUAGCUGAGAUUCGAACCCAGGCAAUCUGAGCUCAGAGCAUAUGGUUUAACCUCUGUGGUUCACCGUUUAGAGCAGCGGUUCUCAACCUGUGGGUCGCAACCCCUUUGGGGGUCUCCUGUAUAUCACAUAUUUACAUCACAAUUCAUAACAAUAGCAAAAUUACAAUUAUGAAGUAGCAACGAAAAUAAUUUUAUGGUUGGGGGUCACCACAAUAUGAGGAAUUAUACUAAAGGGUCGCGGCAUUAGGAAGGUUGAGAACCACUGGUUUAGAGAAAGAUGGAGGGAAGAAACAAAGUUGGUUUGAAAAAAGGAUUCAAACCCACAUAAGGGUCUGGGAGAAGGCAGAUCAGCAUAGAAAAACAUGCCUGAACUCACACUUCCAUACUGGUGUGCUCUAACACACCCAAAUUCACAUAUAUGCAUGCCCAGUACACACGGGAUUUUUUCAUAUACCCACGCACAUAUCUGGGCAUCCACAAGCUGCCCCCUUACAUGCUUGCAUGUGUAGACAGGCAUUAACACGCAUGCAUGACCCCAGACAGCACACGCGUGCACAUAACACGUUUGCAGUCACGCGUGUCUCGCUGCCCAAGGGCACACACAUGGGCACUGGCAUCUGUUUGUCCUUAUAUGCAUUAGCACACACAAAUACAAAUUAGUGGCCGGUUUGCAUUCUUUGCUUAAAGAAAACUGGUGACUGUAUUAAAAAUGUAGGACACAUCAGCCAAAUAAUUAAAGUGAGGAGCGAGGCAAUGGGACUUCUCGCCACUCUCUCGGGGCCGCCUGUGCCGGGCUGUGCUCUAUGUGGCUUCCUCCUAUAUAUUUGAGGAAGAGGCACUUUAUUACAGUAAUUUAUCACCCCCAUAAAUGUGGCUCCUCGGUAACGCAGAAUAAUUUGGGAAGAAAUAUGUUUUAAAAAUUAAAAAUGCAGUCGGCAUGCGCCCCGUCAGGUCUGCAGGGAGACAUCGCUGCAACUCCGGUAACUGCCUGUGUAGCUCUAAUACCUACAACUUCCAUUAUUUAAAGUGUGAUUAUAUUUUUCCUGCUUGGAGCUUUGUCAGCUAUAAAUAAAAGAUAAGGGUGAAUUGUUGCGGGCCCUAGUAAGCACUUCCAUUAUUGGUACUUAAGGGGGCUUGGGGAUGGAGGGAAUGGGCCAGGGUGGGGAAGGAAAGGGAGGCCGUUUGGGGGUACUGCUGGGCUUGGAAGCUGAGCUGGUGGUGCAGGUGGACCCAGUCCUUUUUCUGGUUACAUCUCAGGGAGACAUGGGCCCAUGAACUUCAUCUCUAUGUACCCCACAGACCACAGUGAGAACACCCAUGGAGGUUUUUGCCUGAAACAUCUUCCUACACGCCUCACGUUCUCCUGGUUUCCCCAGGGACUGGAGACACUGAGGGAAGAAGGCCCCAUACGAGAAGGAGAGUCAUUCUCUCGAAAAUGUUUUUUUCUACGACCAGGAGUUGUUUCAAAGUGAGUCCAGUGUGGCCGGCUGAGAAAGGAGGUUCGCAAGAGAUGUGGGGGUAGGGAGGCUCUUUGCUUAGCCCAAAGUAGGUCGUUCCUGAGUCAGAGGGAUAUUCUAAUUAAACAGAGAGUAACCGGCAAGGAAAGGACAUUCCUUUGAGAACAAUCAGUUUGGAAAACAAAUUUGUUUUGUCAUACGGAGAAAAAGAACAAAACAGAACUGAAUGACGAAAGCCUGAAAAGAAUCUCUUUGCCCCCAACUCUCGGUCUUGCACAUUUCUAUACAUCUGAAAGCUUGGAUUGGCAUUCUGGCUCUGCCAGGCCAUGGGCGUGUGACCGUGGGCAAGGAGGUAUUUUCACUUCUUUGAAAACGAAAUGCUUCUCUGUAAUUUGGAGGAUUACAGGGGCUUUUUUCAGGGUUAUGGUGGCAAUUAAAUAAGGUAACACACAUGAGAGUGUUAGGCCUGGCUUGUCCCACACUCUAAGUGCCCCAAAAUGUUGAUGAAAUCAAAUCAGAGAUCUGGGGCAGAUGCGAUGGCUCACGCCUGUAAUCCUGACACUGGGAAGCCGAGGCAGGGGGAUCGCCUGAGCUCAGGAGUUUGAGACUUGCCUGAGCAAGAGCAAGACCCCGUCUCUACUAAAAAUAAAAAAUUAGCCAGGCUGUGUGGCGGGUGUCUGUAGUCCCAGCUACUAAGGAGACUGAGGCAGGAGGAUCGCUGGAACCCAAGAGUUUGAGGUUGCUGUGAGUUAUGAUGCCACUGCACUCUAGCCUGGGAGCCUAUCUCAAAAACAAAUAAAUAAAUACCAGAGGUCCAGUAAUUGUGCCCCUUGGAAUGGACCCAAAUGACUUGAAAACUUCUGUCCAUACAAAAGUCUACACAUAAAUGUUUGAAGUAGCUUUAUUGAUGACUGGCAAAAUGUAGAAGCAGCCAAGACAUCCUUCAGUGGGGGACGGGAUAAACAAACCAGGGUGCCUCCAGACAAUGGACUGUUACUCCGUGAUAAAAGGAAACUAGCUAUAGGAAUGAGGAGUUACUGUUUGGUGGGUAUGGAAUUUCAGCUUGGGGGAUGGAUGGUGGUGUUGGCUCCACAAUAAUGUAAAUGUACUUGAUGCCACCGAUCUGUGCACUUGAAAGUGGUUAAAAUGGAAAAUUUUAUGUUAUGUAGACGUAUGUUACCACAAUAAAAAAAGAAGUGAUC